AUUGAACGCUGGCGGCAGGCCUAACACAUGCAAGUCGAACGAGUGGCGGACGGGUGAGUAAUGUCUGGGAAACUGCCCGAUGGAGGGGGAUAACUUCUGGAAACGGAAGCUAAUACCGCAUACCAUCGGAUGUGCCCAGAUGGGAUUAGCAAGGAGGAGGGGUAACGGCCCACCUAGGCGACGAUCCCUAGCUGGUCUGAGAGGAUGACCGGCCACACUGGAACUGGUCCACGGUCCAGACUCCUACGGGAGGCAGCAGUGGGGAAUAUUGCACAAUGGGCGCAAGCCUGAUGCAGCCAUGCGGCGUGUAUGAAGAAGGCCUUCGGGUUGUAAAGUACUUUCAGCGAGGAGGCGUUACUCGCAGAGGAAGCACCGGCUAACUCCGUGCCAGCAGCCGCGGUAAUUC
rnacentral:rRNA from 1 species